UUCUCUGUUAAAGGGGUGAUAGAAUGCAAAACCGAUUUUACCAAGCCGUAGUUGAAUAACGACAGUUUGGUGGGUAAAUAGGACAUACAUAGAACCUCAAAAUUAGAUUGACAUCUCUUUCCUCUGCAAGA